CAGCAUAUUGGGAGCUGAAAUCCAAGGGCGGUAGCAU
rnacentral:ncRNA from 1 species